ensembl:lncRNA
CCCCGUUGCUGUCUAUGGAGCUCUGCCUGAGCAGCAGAGCCUUGCAGUCUGCGGGCUCUUCCUCCUCCGAGCGCAGGCUCUCCUCGGAGCGCUGGUGGGGCAGGCCCGGCGGCGGCGGCGGCGUGUUCUUGUUCUUCAGGAGGUGCUUCAGCAGCUCGUUGCCCGCCUCGCCCUUGUUGUUGGCGGGGCUCAGCGCGGCGGCGAAGGGCGACACCCCGCCUUUGCUCCCCUCCUCCUUCACCGAGCCCAUCCCGGAGCCCGGCUGGCCGUGCCACUCGCUGGCCUCCGUCUGCUCCAGCUUGAUGUUGCUUAGGAUCCUCUCCUGCUCCUGGGCCUGGGCCUGGGCCUGGGCCCGGGCCGCCUCGGCGUGGAGCGCCUGCUGGCCCGCCGCGCCCCCGGAGAGCUGCCUCUCUAGCUCCGAGUGGCUGGGCGUGGCCGAGCCCAUCAUGGGCGACCGGGAGAGGUCCUGGUCCCCGAACGGGUGGGUGCUCCUGGUUGGCGUGGAGGAGGUGUCCGAGACGCAGGGGGUGAGCGGGGCUGUGAGGUCCGAGUGCGGCGUGGAGGGCGUCUUCACCGAGUCGGCGUCCUCGUCCUUCUUCUUCUUGCGGUUCCUCUUCUUCUUGCCCUUUUCGUCGGGGAUGAUGUUGGAGUAGAGCUGGAUCAAAGACUGGCCCGAGCCGGGGUAGUUGGAGGGCAGGGGCGUGGACAUGUCCCCGCCGAACGGGGGAACCUCGCCUUGCAUCUGGGGCAUCAUCCCGGGGCCGCUGAAGCGGCGCGGUCGGGGCGGACCCUGGUGGAAGUUCCCCCCCAUGUUGUCGGGCCCGAAGCCGGGUCCCAUGUGGUCCUGUGGCAUCAAGCCGUUAGUCAUCAUGCCCCGCCUAUCGCCCUGCAUGAACCCCCCCGGCGGGGAGCCCAUGCCGGGCUGCAUGGGCUGCUGCUGGGGGAACAUGGGGCCCAUUUGCUGCGGGUGCGGGGGCCUCUGCGCCUGCAUGAAGUCCUGCGGCAGCUCCGCGUUGAAGAAGGGCAUCUGCGAGAGCGGUGCCAUGUUGCCCUCUGGUCCCAUCAUGCCUUGCUGCUCCAUCUCCAUGCGCUGCUUCAGGGCUCUCUGCCGCUCCACCUCCUGCAUGAGCUGCACCCGCUGGCGCUCCUGCUGCUCCCGGAGGCGCUCCCUCCUCUCCCGCUCCUGGAAGCCCUCGCUGAACGGAUUGUUGUCGUCAAACUUGAGCCCGCUGGAAGGAGCUGGCUUCGCCUGCGGGGAUGGUGGGGGUUGGGCUUCCUGGGGCAUCUGCUGGGGCAUCUGCUGGGGCAUCUGCUGGGGCAUCUGCUGGGGCAUCUGCUGGGGCAUCUGUUGGGGCAUCUGCUGGGGCAUCUGCUGGGGCAUCUGUUGGGGCAUCUGUUGCGGCAUCUGCUGGGGCAUCUGAGGAGGCAUCUGCUGGGGCAUCUGCUGGGGCAUCUGCUGGGGCAUCUGCUGGGGCAUCUGAGGAGGCCGCUGCGGCAUGGGAUGAGGCUGGCCUUGGUUGCCCAUGGGCACCUGGGGAGGCAUCAUGGGCGGCAUACCGGGCCCGGCCAUGGGGGCCCCGGGGUGCCAGCCGGGGGGCGGUCCCCCGGGCAUGCGGGGAGGGGCGUUGGGCUGGCCCGGGUGGAGCUGCAUGGGCAUCAUGGGGUUCAUGGUGGGCGGGACCAUGGGCGGCCCACCGGGCACCAUGCCGGCCGGGCCCUGCAUGGGCCCCGGCGGGCCCGGCCCCAUGGUCGGGGGCAUGUUGUUCUGCUGCUGUUUGACCCGGUACUCCUCGAUGAGCUCGGCGUGCUCCUUCUGCUGCUUGCGGAUCUAGAACCAGAGAGGAUGGCAGACCAUGUGACCACAGACAGGAUAAAGGAACGCAAUAAUACCAUGUAGGAAAAUAGAAAAAGACAAACAUAGGAAAAUCGGUAUUCAACAUCCAACAAAUUUUUUUUAAUAUAUCCAUUGUUAUGUUUAAUUUUUCUAUUAAAUGAUAUUAAAGGGGAUGGGCGGACCUGCUCCAGUUGUUUCUGCACCACCCCUUGUUGCUCUGUGACAUGUUUCAGCUGCUCUGCGUCCUCCUCCGGAAAGUCCCGGCCUGCCUUCUUCGCGGUCCUCUGCUUGGCCGACAGCGCCUUCUUGGACUUCCGGUGCGCCCCUAUCUUCUCCUCCAGGAACUUCUGCUGCAUCUGGAGCAGCUGCUGGGUCUC